CCUGAGUAUAUUUCAGAAAUCUCUUUAUGAGUUCCAUAUCCCAGACUGGUAAAAGCAAACAAUCAUGCAUGUUAAAAGUUUUUUUUUUUUAAUUUCUUGAAAUGCAAGAAGCACUUCAUUUCAUAGAAAUGACAAUUAAUCAAACUUAUCGAUUUUUUUUAAAAAGGGCAUUUUAAUGUAAAAGGACUUAAAGAUUAUCAAAUGGGAACAUCUCUCAUCUCUGAAUGGCAUGGUGCAAAAUUGUUGAAAUUCCCACCAUACACCCCACAUUUACCAUGAAAACUAAGAGGAAUAUUUUCAGUCAUACCACCAAAAAUCAGUUCAAAUAAAUAAAAAUAUCCCUAAAUCAAGAUACACCCACACCCACAAUUUAAGGCAAAACAUUGCCAAUGGAGCAAUAUCACAGGAAACAAGUAUACUUGCCUGCCAGAGAAGGCACAACAUUGAUUCCAUCUGGUUUCGAGCAACAGAGUCGCCAAUGAAAGCUAG
rnacentral:misc_RNA from 1 species